rnacentral:rRNA from 1 species
UGGGGAAUCUUGCACAAUGGGGGAAACCCUGAUGCAGCGACGCCGCGUGAGCGAUGAAGCCCUUCGGGGUGUAAAGCUCUUUCGGCAGGAACGAUAAUGACGGUACCUGAAGAAGAAGCUGCGGCUAACUACGUGCCAGCAGCCGCGGUAAUACGUAGGCAGCGAGCGUUGUUCGGAGUUACUGGGCGUAAAGCGUGCGUAGGCGGUUGUCUAAGUUUGGUGUGAAAUCUCCCGGCUUAACUGGGAGGGUGCGCCGAAAACUGGGUGACUGGAGUGUCGGAGAGGUAAGCGGAAUUCCUGGUGUAGCGGUGAAAUGCGUAGAGAUCAGGAGGAACACCUGUGGUGUAGACAGCUUACUGGACGAUAACUGACGCUGAGGCACGAAAGCGUGGGUAGCAAAC